rnacentral:rRNA from 1 species
AUUGAACGCUGGCGGAAUGCUUUACACAUGCAAGUCGAACGGCAGCACGGACUUCGGUCUGGUGGCGAGUGGCGAACGGGUGAGUAAUAUAUCGGAACGUAUCCAAUAAUGGGGGAUAACUAAUCGAAAGGUUGGCUAAUACCGCAUACGUCCUACGGGAGAAAGCUAGGGACCUUCGGGCCUGGCGUUAAUGGAGCGGCCGAUAUCUGAUUAGCUAGUUGGUGAGGUAAAGGCUCACCAAGGCGACGAUCAGUAGCUGGUCUGAGAGGACGACCAGCAACACUGGAACUGAGCCACGGUCCAGACUCCUACGGGAGGCAGCAGUGGGGAAUUUUGGACAAUGGGCGCAAGCCUGAUCCAGCCAUUCCGCGUGAGUGAAGAAGGCCUUCGGGUUGUAAAGCUCUUUCGCAAGGGAAGAAAACUUAUCCUCUAACAUAGGAUGAGGUUGACGGUACCUUGAUAAGAAGCACCGGCUAACUACGUGCCAGCCGCCGCAGUAAAAC